AGACUGUGUCACUCCUCGGCUUACGCGUAC
rnacentral:piRNA from 1 species